AAGCGGCAACAGCUCAAAUUUGAAAUCUGGCUCUUUCAGGGUCCGAGUUGUAAUUUGCAGAGGGUGCUUUGGUGUUGGCGGCGGUCUAAGUUCCUUGGAACAGGACAUCGCAGAGGGUGAGAAUCCCGUAUGUGGUCGCCUGCCUUCGCCGUGUAAAGCCCCUUCGACGAGUCGAGUUGUUUGGGAAUGCAGCUCUAAAUGGGAGGUAAAUUUCUUCUAAAGCUAAAUACCGGCCAGAGACCGAUAGCGCACAAGUAGAGUGAUCGAAAGAUGAAAAGCACUUUGGAAAGAGAGUCAAACAGCACGUGAAAUUGUUAAAAGGGAAGCGCUUGCAGCCAGACUUGCCUGUAGUUGCUCGCCUGGGCUUUUGCCCGGGUUACUCUUCUGCAGGCAGGCCAGCAUCAGUUUGGGCGGUCGGAUAAAGGUCCCUUUCACGUAUCUCCCUUCGGGGUUAACAUAUAGGGGGGGCGUAAUGCGACCAGCCCGGACUGAGGUCCGCGCAUCUGCUAGGAUGCUGGCGUAAUGGCUGUAAGCGGCCCGUCUUGAAACACGGACCAAGGAGUCUAACAUCUAUGCGAGUGUUUGGGUGUCAAGCCCGAGCGCGUAAUGAAAGUGAACGGAGGUGGGAACCCCUCGGGGCGCACCAUCGACCGAUCCUGAUGUCUUCGGAUGGAUUUGAGUAAGAGCAUAGCUGUUGGGACCCGAAAGAUGGUGAACUAUGCUUGAAUAGGGUGAAGCCAGAGGAAACUCUGGUGGAGGCUCGCAGCGGUUCUGACGUGCAAAUCGAUCGUCAAAUUUGGGCAUAGGGGCGAAAGACUAAUC
rnacentral:rRNA from 1 species